GACAACGUUUCGAAAGGAACGCUAAUACCGCAUACGUCCUACGGGAGAAAGCAGGGGACCUUCGGGCCUUGCGCUAUCAGAUGAGCCUAGGUCGGAUUAGCUAGUUGGUGAGGUAAUGGCUCACCAAGGCGACGAUCCGUAACUGGUCUGAGAGGAUGAUCAGUCACACUGGAACUGAGACACGGUCCAGACUCCUACGGGAGGCAGCAGUGGGGAAUAUUGGACAAUGGGCGAAAGCCUGAUCCAGCCAUGCCGCGUGUGUGAAGAAGGUCUUCGGAUUGUAAAGCACUUUAAGUUGGGAGGAAGGGUUGUAGAUUAAUACUCUGCAAUUUUGACGUUACCGACAGAAUAAGCACCGGCUAACUCUGUGCCAGCAGCCGCGGUAAUACAGAGGGUGCAAGCGUUAAUCGGAAUUACUGGGCGUAAAGCGCGCGUAGGUGGUUUGUUAAGUUGGAUGUGAAAUCCCCGGGCUCAACCUGGGAACUGCAUCCAAAACUGGCAAGCUAGAGUAUGGUAGAGGGUGGUGG
rnacentral:rRNA from 1 species